rnacentral:lncRNA from 1 species
UUGUGUUUUAUUUGACAGCCUUCCAACUUGAGUCUAGCCCAAAGCCUGCACUCUAAUACAUAUCAUACUUGAUAUUAAAGUGAGAAGGGGGUAAUUUAUAGGAGCUGCCUGAGAACGGCUCUCUUCCGGGGCCAGCCUAUGUGGAAUCGCCACCUCUGGUCAGGUAACAAGGAAUGCGAAAACCAUUCACAGUGAGUUGACAGGGAUAGAGGAAGCUUUUCCAGCAGCAGCGCUGAAAACCACACGUCCUGGGCAUGGCUACCGUUCAAAAGAAGAUGGAGCACAGAGCAGGGUACUAGCCCUUUGUGUGCGUGAAUCUUGGAGGAGUGCGGGUGGGGUGGGAGGAUGGGGCUGUGGAGCCGAAUUUCCAUCCCGACCUCUCACCUGGGAAGCUGACAAUGGUCCCCUUUGCACAUCUAGAGCUGAAAGAAAUUUGUCUUAUCUGUACAGUGUCUUUUCCAAAGAGGAGAAAAUGCCCCUGAAACCCCACUUCUUGACUUUGAGCAGAGGUGCCAUCUCUAAUGAUUAGCAAGACACUCUAGGUUGUUUGUGACGAAGAACUCCACCUGCGCUGUGAAAUCCCCAUGAUUUUUCUCACAUUCCCACUCAAGCUGCCGAGCAACUGGGCCCUUUCUCUUCUACGUGCGGCUGUGUCAGUGUGAUUUCUGUGCGCCAUGCCACUGGGCUGUACCUUCGUGCCCCACCGCAAUUAAUGAUGGGCUGUGGGAGGAGGCUGGCAGGUCACGGGAGGGCAAGGUCCCUGCAUCCGCACCCCCACCCCCAGCGGGCUCCCUUUCUUUCCAGUGGGGGUGACAUCCUCAGCUCUGCUUUUCGAGGUAUCCUUUGAAUGUAUCCCCCAGGGCUUCUGGAAUCCUCCCGCAGUUCUGCAGUCUCGUGGCGGGACUGCGGCAGCAUGAGGCUUGCAUGUGCAAAGGCAACAUGAGGACAUGCGGACUUCAUCCCUGAAAGCAGAGCUCCUGAGGUGUGCCCUUCCACAACCCAGCAACACCAGCCCCCAGUGCCCUGGAACUUUCUCUGGACAGACACAGCUUUGCCUCAGGCAGGACUGACCAGGACCUGAAGAGAGCUGGCUUGGGAGCUCUCUGGAAGGGUCUUGCAUCUAAAAACCGGAAACCAGAAGAAUGGAUGGUGAUCAGAAAUCUGUGCUCUUAUUUCCUGCUGACUAAAUCGGAUUGUCUUGAACAAGAGACUUUAUCGGUUCAUCUAUAAAAUAAACAUUUUGAGCCAGAUGCCUCUGAGAUUCUUUCCAGCUCUCAGUUCUUGGGUAUCUUUUACCUAUUUAGCUGAAACACUGAUUGAACCUGAACAGGAAAAUAUUUUCCAAUUAGUGUAGAAAUGGUGACUAAUAUACCGGUUGGCUUCUGAGGUGCCUCUGAUCAAAGGCAGGCUUGCUCUGAUAAGGCUGGGCAGGGGUAGGGCUCAGGGGAUUUUAAUAUCUAAACGCACUCACAUUUACACGUGUCAGCCAUGUGCUAGGCAUAUGCUUUCAUGUCUGUGGUCAAGUCCAGUGGGUUUUGGGUUAAUUUUUAUUUUUUA